UGCUUCUUUUGUGUCAACGAAACUUUAGACAUCUCUUAGAUUUGUAGGAACAUCAAGUUCUCUCUCAAAUCAAGACACCCUUGUAGGAAAUUAGUUGAGUUGGUCGGAAAUGCCUAAUUCGUGUAGUAUCAGAGCUCUCUGGAUCCUCACAAAUCAAGACACCCUUGUUUUUUCCCGGAGAUUUCCGGUGGUGGAGAAGCGGUGGCGAGCGGCGUGUGAGAGAGAUAAGAGUGAUGAUUUGAAAUACAAAGCGUUGCCUUCUAUUCCUACUGAUUCAGAGAUUGCUGCUGCUUUCAUUGACCGCAAGAAAAGGGAGGGAUCUGCUCGUGGAUUUGGCAUUAGGAUAAACCAGUCAGUUGAAGGUUCAGAUUCCUGGGUUGCUGCUUCUUUUGUGUCAACGAAACUUUAGACAUCUCUUAGAUUUGUAGGAACAUCAAGUUCUCUCUCAAAUCAAGACACCCUUGUAGGAAAUUAGUUGAGUUGGUCGGAAAUGCCUAAUUCGUGUAGUAUCAGAGCUCUCUGGAUCCUCACAAAUCAAGACACCCUUGUUUUUUCCCGGAGAUUUCCGGUGGUGGAGAAGCGGUGGCGAGCGGCGUGUGAGAGAGAUAAGAGUGAUGAUUUGAAAUACAAAGCGUUGCCUUCUAUUCCUACUGAUUCAGAGAUUGCUGCUGCUUUCAUUGACCGCAAGAAAAGGGAGGGAUCUGCUCGUGGAUUUGGCAUUAGGAUAAACCAGUCAGUUGAAGGUUCAGAUUCCUGGGUUGAUGAUCCGAUCACGCGUCACAUAAUAAGUUUGUGCAUUAAAAAUGAAGAGGAGGAAAAGAAUCGUAUUUUGUGGCCACUUGUUUUGCACAUAAAGGGACACUACUGUAUUCUUGUACUGCCUUUAGUGGAACCUGAUCAUCUAAAAACAUAUACAAAGAUGUGUAAAAGAUCCGACUCUGGAAAUGCUGUUGGAGCCGAUGAAAGUUUGUCCCCCAUCCUGCUUAAUCUUCCAUCAAUCACAGGGGCAUUUAUGGUGGGUCACAUGGUAGGAGACAUCAUAACAGGUGAUGUGACAGAACCUGAAAUAGUCAUAAGUGCAGCUCCAUCAGUGGGUGGGUUGUUGGAUUCUCUCACCGGAAGUAUUGGUAUUUCAGCAAGAGCAAAACCUGUAGCUGCUUCAGUUGCAGGUUCAACAGCUUCUGGAGCUGCAACGAGUGGAGCAAUGGCAUCUGAUGCUCCAAAGAUUGGUUUGAGGUCCCUAGAUAGAGAUGCGAUUCGCUCUUUCAUAAGCAGUGCAAUGCCUUUUGGCACCCCUCUGGAUCUCAACUACACCAACAUUUCAGCAGUUAAGAUAAAUGGAUUUUCUUCAGGAGAUAUCCCUCCUGCAGAUCAGAAGCAGCCAGCAUGGAAACCUUAUCUUUAUAGAGGGAAGCAGAGAAUUCUGUUUACAAUUCACGAGACAGUCCAUGCUGCCAUGUAUGAUCGCGAUGAAAUUCCAGAUAGCAUAAAAAUUUCAGGUCAAAUUAACUGUCGAGCGGAAUUAGAAGGGUUGCCCGAUGUGAUGUUCCCACUAAUAGGUUUGGACACUGCUCGUGUUGAGCUGUUAUCCUUCCACCCCUGUGCUCAAGUUCCAGAGCAUGGUAAUGAGAAGCAAGCACUUAUGUUCUCACCACCACUAGGAAAUUUUGUAUUGACGCGUUAUCAGGCAUUUUGUGGUAUGGGACCUCCAAUUAAGGGUUUUUAUCAGCUUUCCAUGGUUUCAGAAAAUGAAGGUGCAUUUUUGUUUAAGUUACGCCUCAUGGAAGGUUAUAGAGCUCCUCUGUCAAUGGAUUUCUGCACUGUGACUAUGCCUUUCCCAAGGAGAAGGGUACUUUCUUUUGAUGGAACACCUUCUAUUGGAACAAUUUCAGUUGCUGAGCACUUGGUUGAAUGGAAAAUUAUAACGACAGGUCGAGGAGUUUCAGGAAAGAGUGUUGAGGCAACAUUUCCAGGAACAGUUAAGUUUGCUCCAUGGCAACCUCAAAGAUUGCCUUCCUCAGUACUUGGGAAUAUGGAAGAUGAAGAGAGUGAUACCGAAACAGAGUCAACGAACAACAUGGCGAAUGUGGAAGAUCUUUUAAUGGAAAAAAUGAAUAAGGAUCUUCAAGCAGUUGAUUUGGAGGAGCCAUUUUGCUGGCAAGCAUAUGAUUAUGCUAAAGUAUCUUUCAAGAUAAUGGGAGGAUCAUUGUCAGGAAUGUCUAUUGAUCCGAGAUCAGUAAGCAUUUUCCCAGCUGUUAAAGCACCCGUGGAGUUCUCAACUCAGGUGACUUCUGGGGAUUAUAUUUUGUGGAACACAUUAGGAAAAUGUCCGGUUGCUGCCACACCCAAAGCAUAGAGUUGCAAGAUAUAUUGUUGGCGUAUCUGAUUAGGAGCAGUGACAGACGGUUAACUUGUCAGAUGGCAGCUGAGUUUGAGAGGUGAGCGUCAAAGAUGCUGUCUGUAAAAGAGAUGUAUUGUGGGGCCAUUCCAUGACAAGUUCCUGCUGCAGUUAGAUUCAACAAUGGGGAAGUGGAUGACUCAUGUUUCUUGGCAUUUGGUUUUUGUGGGACAAGAUUAUUUAAGACGUGUACAACUACUUCGUGGAUACUCAGCCUCAGAUCGUAGGGGGCCCACAAGUAAUCAAUGGUACAGGGCUUUCUGGCAUCCAGUCUCAACCAUGGCUUACCCUUGCCACUCCAAUGCAAUAGGCUUAUGGGUCCAGGAUGAAGGCCCCUACAUUUGCCUUCAAAGUUGUCACCACCUAAACCAUGUUGGUUCCAUCUAUGAUUAACUGCCUUAAUGUUUCCUGCAAACACAAGCAAAACUGGAGGCAAUGACCCCAGAUGGUAAAUUCUUCUUUGCUUUUGUAUUAACAUCCAUUCUUCAACUUUUUGUGUGUACUCUCCUUUCCUCCAUUCAUCAAGAUCCAUCACCAUUACACCUGUGUUGAAGUAACAUGGACGCCUUCCUUCAAA